AGAACACCUGCUGUAUUCUCCCAGCAAACGCUGGGGCCACGGCGUCUCUCCUCUAAUGACACCUCAUCAAUCCGCUCCUAUCAAUGUCCCAGCCAUGGAGGUGACUUCGAGUGCUCAGAAGCCUUAGAAAAUGUCAACGUUUUGGGAGAAAAGGGUACACUUUUGCCAAUCAAGUCAAGUAUAACAGGUAGGCCUCCCUUUCACACAGCUUUAAUGAUAAGUGACAGAGUCGGCAAAAGGCAUUCAACUGCCUGCAGAAUGCAUUAAAAAUUUAAAACUUUAC